AUAAACUACUUUGGAAAUUUAUAUUUACUAAAUAAAAGUUAAAAAUUAAAAGUUACUUUGACAAAGAGGACAGUAGCACUGGAGUUUCCCAUCUAAGCUCCUCUUCCUGGAGUGCACUCAACUCCUCAAAGCGUUAGAUUCGCCUCGAUUCAGUUCUUCCCCAUUGUGGCAGAGAGGAUUAUUUACCUCACCCUGGGAAUAGCUGGGACAGGAAAUUCACGCAAGCUCCUUUAGAAUUAAUGGUGGACACAAAGCUGAAUUACUUUUCAGGCAGAGCAUCCAAAUCAAUGUAGAAAAGUCUGUUGACAUUCAUCCUGAAUGUACAUCAAAGCACCAGUGAACUAAUAUCAAGAACUCUAAUUUGUCAUUAGAAAUUAAGUAGCCACACUUUUGGAUUUAGCAGCUGAUCGUAAAUACCCUGUGUAUUUAACUUUUGUGAAUUUUUAUUGUAUGGCCAUUAUACUUCAUUAAUAGUGCAUUCUUGAACAAAACUUUAAAAAUAGGUCAUUCCAUUUUAUUGCCCCAAUAUUUUUAUUCCAGUGGGUAUCUGGUGUUAGGGUCAUAGUAGCUACCAUUAAUAAUAAGUCAUAAAUAGCAUACAUUGAUAAAUGUUUAAGGUGGGACACUUAGAAUAAGCCCAAUUCCCACUGUCCUUCUUGUCAGGGGAAAUGAGAGGUAGGGAGAGGGAGUCUGCCUCUCCAGAAGGCUGCCCCAGUGCAUGAUUUGAUCUGAAAUGAAGAAGUGGUAACUCUGGGCAUCAUUUUAGCUCAGAUGCAUCGUGUCUCUUCUGUAUUCUAGAGCAAAUAUUAGAGGGUUGAAUGAAUCUCAAACUGUAGAUAUGUUUCAGGUCUAUUUUUAAACUCACACUGGCUCUUUUCCAGAAAGAAGAGAAACAAAAAUCUACUGGCAGUAAAGCCUUUACCUUUUCCAUUGAAUUUUUUUUGAGAUUAAAAAAAAAAAAACUUCUGAAAAUCCAGAACAGAUGGAGCCUUAUGAAGUACACAGCAAAGCUGAACACUUUGCAGACUACUUAGUAGAAAAUGAAGUUCUCAAGAAAAAAAAAAAAAAAAAAACACAGUUGUCUUUUUAAAAAACAAAAAUCAGUUGACCAGAGGCAAAGUAUCAGGUGCAGUAAAUAUUUGCCUUUCUUUGAAGACACUGAAAACAGUAAAAGUCCAGUCACAUUAAAUUGUUCUUCUGGUUGGUCUGCAAGACACCAAAGGAUUUCCAAUCUGAAUCAAGUUUGUGUAUUUUUUUUAUCAAUAAGAUUGUUGAGUGAUUCAGGUAAUGCUCAAGAGAAUUGGUAACAUUGCUUAUUAACACCACUUUCUCUUUCUCUUUAAAUAGCAGAAGAGUUAAAUUUAAAACUGUAAACUGUCCAAGGACACAGAGGUAGCACAGAAAAUUUAAGAUAUGUAACAGCUAUGUUUAAAGAUUUCACAAUCUCCACAUUUGUAGGUAUUGAAUCAGUAACCUGGCUCUUUGUAACAGGUGAAGAGUAUGAGAUGACCCAUGCAAGUCCGGUAGAAGAGUGUGGAGGCUCUGGGUGUUUACUCUUUUUCCCAGUUGGCCGUGUGUCAUUCAUCGUAGACUUACUACCAAACCACUGGGAAUGACCCUUCAUCAACUAACAUGGUACAGCAGCCGGUGAAAUAGGCCGAAAAAACUGUCAGUCCUAAGGAAAGUACUGCAGAGGAGCCUUGCAAACAUGGUGGUGAAACAUGCCAAACAGAUACAGUUGGCUUUGUGUUGUUGUUGUUUUAACGUCACACUUGACAAAUCCUUCCUGACUUUCCAAGGAAAGAGACAAGUAAGCUUCCAUUUUGUCAUCAAUAAAGGUGGCAGGUUGUAAGGGCUUAAAUACCAUCUCAAGACUAAAAUAUAGAGGAUGCAUGGCAAGCUAUUGUAAAAAAGAAAACAAGUGCGGAGAAAAAACAAUAAAAGCAAAAUCUUUCUUAGAGGGGAUCCAGGAGCACAUUUCUUUGGCUGCAAAUCCAGUGUGAAUAAAAGGGGGAAGGGGAGGAAUGGCAACUUGAAAAGGCCAAAUGGAGUGGUAAAGCAAACUUCUGUUUAAUGAGAUCAAGACACCUGUAGAUGGGUGACUGGGUGUGCUGGUCUUUUGAUGCCUGAGGCUGUUUAUCAUGAGCUUAAGGAUACUGGCAAGUCUCAAAAUGCUUUCAAAAUCGCUUCAUUGUGAUUCUCUUUAGUUCUGGAAAAUCAAAUAGCUGCCUGUAGCUCUUAGAUGUCAGAGACUAAAAAGCAUAAAUGUGGUGCCAUAACAAGUCCAAGGUAUUUGGAAAUCAUGUGUCUAACUUUGAAUGUCUGCAAUUACAGGAUGAUUAUAAAGCUGACGACCUGGAGCAGAUGUUCUGCGAGUGGUUGUUGAGGUACUGCUUGGAACGCCCACAUCUCAUACUGGAGUGCCUUGGCUCAAGUGCUGGCUCCACUUCUGAUUCUGGCUUUCGGCUAAUGCCCACCUUGGAAUGGGUCAAGUUCUUGGGUCUGUAUGGGAGAACUGGCCUCAGCCUGGACCAGCCCUGUCUGUUGUAGGUAUCUGGGGAAUGAACCAGCAGAUGAAGGAGAUCUCUCAUUUUGUCUUCUCUCUCUUUCCCUGUCUUACUGCCUUUAAAAUAAAUAAGUGAAUCAAUAAAUUAAAUUCAAAAUAAGAGAUAUGAUUUUUUAAAAGAUUUAUUUAUUUACUUGAGAAGCAGAAUUAUAGACAGCAGAGAAAAUGAGAGACAGAGAGGUCUUCCACCUUCUGCUUCACUCCCCAAAUGGCUCAACAGCCAGAGCUGAACCUAUCCGAAGCCAGGAGCCAGGAGUUUCUUCUGGGUCUUCCAUGUGGGUGCAUGGGCCCAAGAACUUGGGCCAUCUUCUACUGCUUUCUCAGGCCAUCAAAAGGGAGCUGGAUCAGAAGAGAAGCAGCCAGAACUUGAACUGGUGUCCACAUGGGAUGCCGGUGCCACAGGCAGAUGCUUAACCUACUAUGCCACAAAACCAGCCCCAGAGAUGUGAUCAUUUAAAAGUAGAUGGUCAUGAUUAGCUGCAAAUGGCUGCCUGAGAGAAAAUGGGAACCCUAGGAAACCCAACACAGGCCUCUAAGAACUCCAGAAACUACUACGGCUUAAUAAUGUCACUGCCUCCAGAGAAUACUGGUGAUUUAUUGUUUUUAUAACUUGACAUGCUUGACUUCUCCAGGAACAAGGUGUGAUCCAAGAUGCCAGGUCCCGGAUUAGAUGUCCAGAAUCUUAAAGAACCUAGGAAUUGGACCUGGGCUCUCAUGAAGCAGAACACCUUAGCAGAAUCAUUUUUCCUCUUGGCUAAGGAGGAAAUAUCUAUUUUGUUGCUAUUGCAUGAAUACCCUUCCCUCCAUCCACUGUAUCAUGUCUGUCUAUCUACUAAUCUAUCUAUAUCUUUGUCUACAUCUAUUUAGCCAUCAUAUUUUUUAAAAACUUUCUCAACAUUUACUGUGUCCCAGGCACUAUGGUAUGUGCUGGAUAUAAAGUAGUUAAUGAGAGACUCAUGGAGUUUACAGUCUAAUGGGGGAGGCCCAAAUAAACAAGUAUGUAAAUAAAUCAACAUCAUAUUUAUGGAUACUAUAAUUAGCCCUAAAAAAUAAACAGUUGAUAAAAGAGUGAGUAGCAGGUGGCUAUAGCAAAUAAAGGUCACUUUAGUUAGAGUUGUCAGGUCAUGUGCAGCCGAGUCUUGAUGGAUGAAGAAGAACUAAAUGCAUGAGAGGAACAGCCAAUAGGGAAGAUAGGAGUGUUUCAGGGAGAGGGAACAGCAAGAAUGAAGUCCAUGAGGUAGAAAAGAAGAGUCAUUGGGAAAGCAGUAGAAGAUGGCCCAAGUGCUUGGGCCCCUGCACCUGCGUGGGAGACCAGGAAGAAGCUCCUAGCUCCUGGUUUUGGCUUGUCCCAGCUCUGAUUGUUGUGGCCAUUUGGGGAAUGAACCAGCGGAUAGAAGACCUUUCUCUCUCCCUGCCUCAGCCUCUCUCUAUCUGUAACUCUGCCUUUCAAAUAAAUAAAUAAAUCUUUUAAAAAGAAAAAAAAAAGAGGUAUGCUGUAGUGUAGUUGGAAUGUGAUGAAACUAGGCAUGGUGAUAUUAGGAUUGGAGGGAAAAGAAAUUAGGAUUUGGGGGUAGGUAGUGUUUUACACAGUGAUGCCAAUCGGGAUGUCUGCAUCCUAUAUUAGAAUGCCUCAGUUCAGCUCCUGGCUCUGCUUCUGAUUCAGGCUUCCUGCUAAUGCACACCUUGGAAGGCAGCAGGUGAUGGUGAUAUAGAACAGUUCCCCAAAACUGGUUAGGGGGGUGCUCUAGAAUCCCCCAAACAGGGUCCACUCACCUGAUAUGCAGAAAGCCAAUCAGUAAUAUCAGGGUGGUGUAAGAAAGAAAGCAUUUAUUACAGAGCGCAGAGCAAGGAGGCAGGAACUGCUACUUAAUUCUCGAGCUCCCAGAGGGGCUGGGGGGAAGGGUUCUUAUAGAUUGAAAUGGGGUUGAGGUGUGUGUUCAGCUUGUGUCCAAGUUCCUGGCUGGUCUGCAGUGCUCAUGGACCUCUUUCAACUGGUGGGUGAUAUCGUGUCUUUUAUUGAAUUUAAUGAUGCCAAAAUGGGCUUCAGAUAGUCUAGGGGCUACAGACAAGUGGUAGUUACUUUCUGCUCAAGGCCUAGAGCUCCCAGAAAUGAAGUCAUUCAAGACAAGACCCAACAUCAAGAGGUUAUCUAUCAGAGAAACAACCUUAUAGGGGCUCUCUUUCAGUGGCUCAGAUACCCAGGUUGCUGCCACCCGUUGGGGAGACCCUGGUGGAGGUUCUGGCUCCUGGUUUGGGGCUAUUGCAGGCAUUUGGAGAGUGAAUCAGCAGAAGAUGUCUCUCUACUUUUCAAAUCACUACAUGUAUUUUGAAAAGUAAAUUAUGAUUUUAUUCUAGGUACAGUGAGAAGAAAUCACCAGUGGUUUUUAAGCAAGAGAAUAAUCAAAUCACUUUGACUGUCAUGUGGGAAAUGUAUUAGAAGAGGACAACAUGGACGGAGUGAGACCAGUUAAAUGAUGGAAGGUGAUGAUGACUUAAACUUCUUAUCCAGGGAGAGGUGACAUCAUAUCCCCUCCAUUUGUCUUUGGGUGUGCCUGUAACUGCUUCUACCAACAGAGAAGCAGCAGCAGUGAUCCAGGACUUCUAAAUUUAGACUGUAAAAGGCCGUGAGGCCUCUGCUUUCUCUGUUGGCCAUUGCUCAAUCCACCACGUAAGAAGUCUACCCUUAGGGCUGGCACUGUGGUGUAGCGGGUAAAGCCACUGCCUACAGUGCUAGAACCCCUUAUGGGCACCGGUUAGAGUCCCGCUGCUCCACUUCCAAUCCAGCUCUCUACUAUGGCCUGGGAAGGCGGUAGAAUAUGGCCCAAGUCCUUGGGCCCCUGCACCCACAUGGGAUACCCAGAAAAAGCUCUUGGCUCCUGGUUUCUGAUUGGCACAGCUCCAGCUGUUGAAGCCAAUUGGGGAGUGAACCAGCGGAUGGAAGACCUCUCUCUCUCUCUGCCUCUCCUUCUCUCUGUGUAUAACUCUGAAUUUCAAAUAAAUAAAUAAAUCUUUAAAAAAAAAAAAAAGAAGAAGAAGUCUACCCAUCCUGAGACUACCCCACUAUGAAGGAACCCACACCACUCAAGAGGCCAGCUGAGGUCCCAGGCAGCUGCCAGCAUCAGCCGCCAGGUGCGUGAGUGAAGGCACCUCCAGAUGAUCCUAGGUCCGUGGUUAAGUCACACCCAGUCUGAGUCUUCCCACCUGAGGCCCCAGGCAUCAUGGAACAAAGCUUGAGCUAUAAUGAUCAUCUUCUUCUCUACAAAGGAUUUGUGAAGUUCAGGAAACUAGGAGUCUUCAGGUAGGUGGCAUGCAAGGUAGAAGGGAGGGAUACUCAGAAAGAGCUGCAACAGGAGCAGGUGUUCGGUGCGGUAAGUAAGAUGUCACCUGGGACACCCAUAUCCCACACUGAACCACAUCCCUGGUUCAAGUCUUGGCUACUGUGCUUCCAAUCCAGCUUCCUGCUAAUGCACUCUGGGAGGAAGCAGAUGAUGACUCAAGCACUUGGAUUCCUGCCACCUACGUGAGAGAUUGGGAUUGUGUUCCUGGCUCCUGGCUGCAGCCUGGCCCAGCCCUGGCUGUUGUGGGCAUUUGGAAAUUGGAUGGAUGACCUCUCUCUCUGUCUGUCCCUGUCUCUGCCUCUCUCUCUCUAACUACCUCUCAAAUAAAUGAAAAUAAAUAAAUCAGUGCUUUCCUCUGGUUUCCCUACAGAGCAGUAAACCUUUAAGAGUGAUCAGAGGAGGCUCAAUGUCCUCCUUUAGGCCCCUGACUUACAAGGGCCCUGGCUGAACGCCUUGUCCUGCCAACUGCCAUCUCCACCUGAGCGUUUGAUAAAUGUGCUCUGAUGACAAAAGUGAUGAGGGCAGAAUGGGUUUGUAAUGUUUCUUAGAGUUAGGGAACUGCACGCUGGACGUGCAGAGGACUCAAAUUGCUUUUCCAAGGUCACACAACCACUUCUAAAAAAGGAGCCGGUCUUGGAAUUGAAAUCUUCUGCCUCCUGGUUCAGAAUCCUUCUCCCUGAGCACAGAUGUGGAUAAGGGAAGUCUUACAGGAUAGCUCUUAUUUGCUUGGGAGGGACACGCUACUAUUGAGGCAAGAAAGAAUGGGGGCCGGCGCCACGGCUCACUAGGCUAAUCCUCCGCCUAGCGGUGCCGGCACACUGGGUUCUAGUCCCGGUCGGGGCGCCGGAUUCUGUCCUGGUUGCCCCUCUUCCAGGCCAGCUCUCUGCUAUGGCCAGGGAGUGCAGUGGAGGAUGGCCCAGGUGCUUGGGCCCUGCACCCCAUGGGAGACCAGGAAAAGCACCUGGCUCCUGGCUCCUGCCAUCGGAUCAGCGCGGUGCGCUGGCCGCAGCGUGCCGGCCGCGGCGGCCAUUGGAGGGUGAACCAAUGGCAAAGGAAGACCUUUCUCUCUGUCUCUCUCUCUCACUGUCCACUCUGCCUGUCAAAAAAUAAAAAAAAUAAAAAUAAAAAAAAACUUAAGUUGGGUAAUAAAUGUAGCAUUUAUUAAAAAAAAAAAGAAAGAAAGAAUGGAUUCGAACAUCAGGGACUUAUUGCCAGAUGUCAAGAUAACCAUUAACCAGACACUGGAAAUUUGGGCGGUGUCAUGUGUAAGUGGCAGGAAGACAGUAUCAAGGGGCAGUAGGAAUGUUUCUCUAUGAUAAAAACACAACUGCUGGCCCGGCUGCAGAUUUCUGGAGUUCCCAACUGGCACGGCCUCUUAGACAGGCUUUUUGUUUUCAUUUUUAUUUUUAUUUGAGAGGCAGAGUGACAGAGAGAAAGAAGGCGGGGAGUGAGAGCUCCCAAGUACAGGCUCACUCCCCAAAGGCUCCCAACAGCCAGGGCUGGAGGAGCUGGGAACUCACUCUAGGUCUCCCUUUUGGGCCGCAGGAACCCACUUACUUGAGCCAUCGCUGCGACCUUCCUGAGUACACAUGAGCAGGAAGCUGGAGUCGAGAGCCAGAGCCAGGUGUGGGCUUUCAACAAAGAGGAAAGGUGCUGGGGCUUCCAUGAUGUAACCAUAAUGAAGGCAUCUUCCCUUCCCUUCCUUUCAUAUUUUAACUAACAAAAACCAACCUCUGACAUUGUGAACUACCUGUGACUAACCUUGUGAAUAAUAACGUUGGCAUGGGAAUUCCAGGAGCCUACUAAAAGGAGAAGACUUGGAAUGGCAGGCGCCACACCAAGCUAAGAAGCAAGUAUGCAACCAUCAGCUACAAACAGCUGAGCUCGUUAUCAACAGCCCUCCACCUGGCGGACACCCUGGAUUUCCCCAGAUAGCCCAUCUCAGAGCAAAGCCUGAAAAUCUGCUUCAUUAUCAAUUGACUAGACUCAUUCCUUUUUUCUACCCUCCACCUGCAGCUACCCUUUCCUUUUAAAAACCCUUUGGCUGGCUUGUUGGGUGGAACGAAUACAUUUUGGUUCCCAAGGUCACUCUUUCUCCAAGAUGCAGGCUUCCUGGAAUAAACCCUUUCCUCACACCAGCUCUCAUCUCCGGUGAAUCAGCUAUGUCCAGCGGCAAGCAGCAAGGUAACAGUUUUACUCAGAUACCCUCAAAUACCGCUAGACACAUUAUUGGUGUAGAUUCCUGGGCUGAAGGCAUUUCAUUAGCAUUAAAAAAAUUUAACUUUGGUGGGCGCACCCAUGAAGUACCUUUAUAGGUUAUGUUUCUGGUAUAUCAAAAUCUAGGGAAGCACAAUCUAGCAUCUUAGGUGAGUGCAUGCAAGAAAAGGAAGAGGAAGUGAACCUACCAUGACAAACUACUGGGAAUGACCCCGGGUGAGAAACAGGUUUCCUACACCAAAACCCGCUGAAGAAAGUGAACAAGUGGAAGUAAGUAACAGGAUGACACUGGCUUACAGUUGUGUUGCGUGAAAAGCUCCACCAUGGUUUAAAUUAUGUGUUCAGCGCUGAUGAGCCUGGAGGGUUCUAAUGCUCUGAAUUGUUGGGUAUCUGGCUUCAGUGUGCUUUUAGUUUGUAAGAAUGACACGUGGGGGCAGGAAGUGGCGGAAUCCACCAGAAGUAAGGUUCUUGUGUGUCAUAGAAUGGUUCCAAAAGAUUGAAUAAGCGAAUGCAGGCCUGUAUGAAGAACCUUAGGGCUGACUGCUCAGGACUGCUGUCCUUGGUACCCUGGUACACACCUGCUGGGUGAAGUUUCCCUCUCAGCCUCCUGGAUAUAUUCUGUUUCAAAUGCAGCUUCCUUUCUCCCUGUUGGUAACAGAAUCCCAUUUCCUGUUAGCAGUUCCUGGCUUCCCUCUUAACACUUUGUGGCAUUCUCAAUGAAUUAACCUUGCCCUAAUUAAAUUAGCCAGCAAGUUCUCACUUGUAAAUCCUGGUAGGUUUGUCUCUAGAUGGUUCAGAUAUAAAGAUGUUGCAAUACAAAAGGAGAAAAAAAAAAAAAAAACCUCAGAAUCCAAAGUAUCCCUGAACUUUAAGACUGGUGUGUGUUGGUUUUGUUUGGCUUUGGUUUUCCAUAGGAGAAUUGUUUUUACAAUGUGGUGCUCAGCCCUGUGGUUGUAUGAGUGGUGGAGAUUUUUUUUUUUUCUGAUUAGUUCUGGGAUUGAAAUUCUUAAUACUUGCCUACGUGUGGUCUUGGCGCAAGCUGGUGUUGAAGUGGAAAAACAGCAGUGAGAGUGGGGCCUAGAGGCUGGAGAGGAGGCGAGGCAGGGGUCUGCUCAGUCCACGGCUGUCACACAUAAAGGAAGCAGCACUGACUACGCAGCUGUGGGCAGCAUGACAGUCUCUUCCUCCUCCCAGGGACUCCAUACACACCUUGGUCACCGCCUCCCAGCUCAGUUUCAUUCAUCUAGGAAUUGUCCAUUCACUGCACAGGGCAGCAGAACGACACUGAGUCACAACAGCAAUGCAACCUUUGAAGAUAAGGACAAAGUAAAGAAGUGUGUUUCGACUUACCUGGGGGAGGGUAUGAAGCAGGUAUUCCCAUCUAUUACCGAUGGGCGCAAGCUGCGGGAAAUUUUGACACUGAGUUGGGAGCAUGUUAGGUGGCCAGGGCUGCCGUAACAGCACCGCAGGCAGAGGGGCUUAAACCACAGAGCUGUAUUUUCUCGGGACUCUGGAGGCUGGACGUCCAAGAUCUAGGUGAAGCCAGGGUUGUUUGUUCCUGAGACCCUUCUCCUUGACUUGUAGAUGACCGUCAUCUCCACGUGUCUGCACGAGACCUCUCUUUGUGCCGCUCUGUAUCCAAAUGUCCCCUUCUUGUGGCCACCACUCACAGUGAACAUCCCCCCGAACACAUUCCUGCCAACUUCAUUCCUCCUCAGAGCCCAGCCCUCCAAAGACAAUCUCACUAUGAGGUACUGGAGGUCAGGACCUCCACAAAUAUCACAGGGCUUCAGAAAGCUCACAAAAAGAUGGACUUAAAAGACAAGUUUAUUAUGGUGCCAAGAAUUUUGAAAAUGAUGCAUCGAGAUUUCAUAGUAGGCACUUCCUUUGAAUUUUUUUGAAGACCUCUCUAGACUGACAAAAGGACAUGUCACUGAGUUACUCUACUUUUAGGAAAUUACACUAAAGAAAUAAAUAGAACUCCAAUGAUAGGAUUCUACAAUAUUUCCUCAUAACCUACUUUUCUUACCUUUUAUAUCUUUUGAACAUGUCUCUACAUAUCUAAACAUAUACAGUGUGUCACUUUUAAUCACUAUCUUGUAUUUUGUCACCAGGCAAAAGAUUUAUUUAACAGUUUAAUAGUUAUAUUCUUUUUUUUUUUUAAGAUUUAUUUCAUUUGGGGCCAGUACCAUAUAGGUGCCGGUUUCUCUCCUGGAUGCUCCACUUCUGAUCCAGCUCUCUGCUAAUGGCCUGGGAAAGCAGCAGAUGGCCUAAAUGCUUGGGCCCCUGCAUCCACGUGGGAGACCUGGAAGAAGCUCCUGGCUCCUGCCUUCAGAUAGUUGUAGCUCCGGCCAUUGCGGCCAUCUGGGGGGUGAAGCCCCCACCCCGUCUGUAACUCUACCUCUCAAAUAAACAUAUAAAAAUCUUUAAAAAAAUGAAAUGAAAUAAGAAAUGAAGAGACAAUAGAACAGUAAAACUACUACUAAAACAGUACUAUACAGUACUAUACUUUGUGUGUCUGUGUGGGUGCAAGCUAUUGAAAUCUUUACUUAGUAAAUACUAAGUAGAGCUUCCGUAUAUAAAGAUAAUUGAAAAUGAAUCUUGAUGAAGAAUGGGAUGGGAGAGGGAGUAGG